rnacentral:rRNA from 1 species
UGAGGGAAUAUUGGGUCAAUGGGCGAGAGCCUGAACCAGCCAAGUAGCGUGCAGGAUGACGGCCCUAUGGGUUGUAAACUGCUUUUAUAAGGGAAUAAAGUGAGUCUCGUGAGACUUUUUGCAUGUACCUUAUGAAUAAGGACCGGCUAAUUCCGUGCCAGCAGCCGCGGUAAUACGGAAGGUCCGGGCGUUAUCCGGAUUCAUUGGGUUUAAAGGGUGCGCAGGCGGGUCUGUAGGCCCGUGGUGAAAGCCUGGUGCUCAACGCCAGAGGUGCCGCGGGAACUGCAGGUCUUGAGUCGUGACGAGGGCGGCGGAAUGCGAAGUGUAGCGGUGAAAUGCUUAGAUAGUUCGCAGA